rnacentral:rRNA from 1 species
GAUGAACGCUGGCGGCGUGCUUAACACAUGCAAGUCGAGCGAAGCACUUAAGUUUGAUUCUUCGGAUGAAGACUUUUGUGACUGAGCGGCGGACGGGUGAGUAACGCGUGGGUAACCUGCCUCAUACAGGGGGAUAACAGUUAGAAAUGACUGCUAAUACCGCAUAAGACCACAGUACCGCAUGGUACAGUGGUAAAAACUCCGGUGGUAUGAGAUGGACCCGCGUCUGAUUAGGUAGUUGGUGGGGUAACGGCCUACCAAGCCGACGAUCAGUAGCCGACCUGAGAGGGUGACCGGCCACAUUGGGACUGAGACACGGCCCAGACUCCUACGGGAGGCAGCAGUGGGGAAUAUUGCACAAUGGAGGAAACUCUGAUGCAGCGACGCCGCGUGAAGGAUGAAGUAUUUCGGUAUGUAAACUUAUAUCAGCAGGGAAGAAAAUGACGGUACCUGACUAAGAAGCCCCGGCUAACUACGUGCCAGCCGCCGCGGUAA